rnacentral:lncRNA from 1 species
GCCAGGCCCAGGGUCUCUCUCUUCCUGCUGCCUACUGAUCUGGAUGCAGAACUCUCGGCGACCUCUCCAGCACCACGCCUGCCUGUGUGCAGCCAUGCUUUCCACCAUAUAAUGGACCAAACUUCUGAAACUGUCUCAGGUUGACUGGCACUCCCCAGAAGGCCUCCCUGGCCCCGGCCCAAGUCAGGAGCCUCCUGCAAUCACUUCAUGGCUUGCCUUCAUCUUCAUACAAAAUGUCAAGGACUUAUUUGAUAGGGAGG